GAACGCUGGCGGCGUGCCUAAUACAUGCAAGUCGAGCGAACAGACGAGGAGCUUGCUCCUCUGACGUUAGCGGCGGACGGGUGAGUAACACGUGGAUAACCUACCUAUAAGACUGGGAUAACUUCGGGAAACCGGAGCUAAUACCGGAUAACAUGUUGAACCGCAUGGUUCAACAGUGAAAGACGGUCUUGCUGUCACUUAUAGAUGGAUCCGCGCCGCAUUAGCUAGUUGGUAAGGUAACGGCUUACCAAGGCAACGAUGCGUAGCCGACCUGAGAGGGUGAUCGGCCACACUGGAACUGAGACACGGUCCAGACUCCUACGGGAGGCAGCAGUAGGGAAUCUUCCGCAAUGGGCGAAAGCCUGACGGAGCAACGCCGCGUGAGUGAAGAAGGUCUUCGGAUCGUAAAACUCUGUUAUUAGGGAAGAACAAAUGUGUAAGUAACUAUGCACGUCUUGACGGUACCUAAUCAGAAAGCCACGGCUAACUACGUGCCAGCAGCCGCGGUAAUACGUAGGUGGCAAGCGUUAUCCGGAAUUAUUGGGCGUAAAGCGCGCGUAGGCGGUUUUUUAAGUCUGAUGUGAAAGCCCACGGCUCAACCGUGGAGGGUCAUUGGAAACUGGAAAACUUGAGUGCAGAAGAGGAAAGUGGAAUUCCAUGUGUAGCGGUGAAAUGCGCAGAGAUAUGGAGGAACACCAGUGGCGAAGGCGACUUUCUGGUCUGUAACUGACGCUGAUGUGCGAAAGCGUGGGGAUCAAACAGGAUUAGAUACCCUGGUAGUCCACGCCGUAAACGAUGAGUGCUAAGUGUUAGGGGGUUUCCGCCCCUUAGUGCUGCAGCUAACGCAUAAGCA
rnacentral:rRNA from 2 species